rnacentral:rRNA from 1 species
UACGGGGGAGCAAGCGUUGUUCGGAUUUACUGGCGUAAAGGGCGCGUAGGCGGCCAGCACAAGUCAGUUGUGAAAUCUCCGAGCUUAACUCGGAAAGGUCAACUGAUACUGUGCGGCUAGAGUGCGGAAGGGCAACUGGAAUUCUUGGUGUAGCGGUGAAAUGCGUAGAUAUCGAGAGGAACACCUGCGGCGAAGGCGGCUCUCUAUCUCGAUUCUGACGCUGAGGCGCGAAAGCUAGGGAGCAAACGG